CAUAUGUUGAAUAUCGGCCUCGUGUGCAUACAUACGCCUCGAUGGAAACGGUUGAUCGUGUAUGGUUUUCUGAUAUAAGAAGUUACUUCAUUUCUGCCCUGGUAUUAGCUAUGAUAUAUGCAGCAGAUCGAUAAUGAUUCAUAAUCGUAUUGGUCGAUGUGGGGAUUGACAGAAAUAAUUAAGCAGUAAUUUAGUAUAGAGUCACUGUAGCUUAAUGACAUUCUAGAUUCGAUAAUCAUUAGAGCAGGUUUAAAGAACUACGACGUUUGGACGGAAAAAAAUAUGUUCAGUUCCAAUUAAAUGUAACUUUCAACUAUAAGUAUACAUCCACUCACUGUGAACAUGGAACCGAUUCAAAUCAAACCAUGUUCACAUGUUUAUUAAGACUUUCGGGCUAUAUAAUUCUGAUUUAUAUUAUACGACUCGGCCAUGGUGAUCGGUAAAUUAAUAAUAAAAACAUUUUUCCCGACCUUGGAGCCAAAAUUAAAAUCGUUCGUAACCCUUCGUACUCUGAUGUACUUUGAUAAGUGAAUCGAAUAUGGCCUAAUUGAAUCAGAUAUUGUUAUCUUUUGAACGAUGAUGGGGCGAUUUGUUCGACGUUUACCCGACAGUGUGAGCCCUGAGAUAAUUUACAUAACGCCUUCGAGUAUACCUUCCGAUAAUUAUGUUACUCAAUAUCCAACAAGGUAGGUAAGAAAAAUCAUUUCAUAAAGUUCCUCGUUUUUGUUUGGAAAAUUUCCCUACCGAUCGAGUGAAAAUUAUCGCUACCAUAAAUUCAUUGGUCACAAUCGUCGCACCGUGAUAAUUGUAUGCAAAUUGACGAUUGAAAAACGGUGAUUAGAAUCGA